CUUCUCAGUCAGAGUCUCUGCUGGCCAUGUUUGAUCCACUGUCUUCACAUGAAGGGGCUUCUGCUGUGGUAAGGCCAAAGGUUCACUAUGCUAGGCCAUCGCAUCCACCACCAGAUCCCCCAAUCCUGGAAGGAGCUGUGGGAGGAAAUGAGGCCAGGUUGCCAAACUUUGGUUCCCAUGUUUUAACUCCAGCUGAAAUGGAGGCAUUCAAGCAAAGGCAUUCUUACCCUGAGAGACUAGUUCGAAGCAGGAGCUCUGAUAUAGUAUCUUCUGUCCGGAGACCCAUGAGUGACCCCAGCUGGAACCGGCGUCCAGGAAAUGAAGAGCGAGAACUCCCUCCAGCUGCAGCCAUUGGUGCUACUUCUUUGGUGGCUGCACCUCAUUCAUCAUCUUCAUCCCCGAGUAAGGACUCCUCAAGAGGAGAGGUACUGAAGAACGCAAAGAUAGCGAUGAUGAGAAAUCAGACAGGAACAGACCUUGGUGGAGAAAACGUUUUGUUUCAGCCAUGCCUAAAGCUCCUAUACCAUUUAGAAAGAAAGAAAAACAAGAAAAAGACAAAGAUGAUCUGGGGCCUGACAGAUUCUCAACACUCACAGAUGAUCCCAGCCCUAGACUCAGUGCACAAGCUCAGGUGGCUGAGGAUAUUCUGGACAAAUACAGGAAUGCCAUUAAACGGACCAGCCCCAGUGAUGGAGCAAUGGCAAACUAUGAAAGUACAGAGGUUAUGGGUGAUGGUGAAAGUGCACAUGAUUCUCCCCGUGACGAAGCACUGCAGAACAUCUCGGCUGAUGAUCUCCCAGACUCUGCAAGCCAAGCAGCCCACCCGCAG
rnacentral:lncRNA from 1 species